ensembl:lncRNA
CGCAGAUUUAGUCAAGUCUUUGUCACAGCUCUUUUAAGUGAAUUUCAUUUGCAAAGCUCCGGACUUUGAACGUUUACUGGGAAUACGUGCAUUGAAACUGUGCGGAUAAUUGGAUGAACGCUCUGAAGGGCUAGGUUUGCCCACUGAAGAUGUUAACUCUGCAUGCUAAAAAUGGUAUACGCAAAGCCACUGCAUUCAAAUUUGACGUUAAGACAUCCUACUCAAGCGUGCCUGGGUGAGGAGUUUGUAGUGAGACCGGUGUCAGUGCUGUGACAAUCGUGCACUUGUGUCUCUGCACACUGCAUGAAUCUCUGUGCAGCAGAAACAGUAGGGGCUGGGACUUUCAGUACAGAGCAGCAAUAACAUUUGGUAAUUAUUAUAUAUAAACUGUUUUGUACCAUUGUCAUCAGAAUAUUAUUGCUAUGUCUAAGCUAGCCACAAAAGAAAUCAUCAGGUAAACAGAGCAGGCUAAUUAGUUCCAUCAACAGCUGACACAUCUACAUUCAAACUCUCGAAUCAAUGUUUUAAAUGUUUAGCUGAAAGUAACGCCCUCACUGCAAGUAAAGUGCAAACUUGACCAAACCAAAUUCAAACGUUAUUGAUUUUUGAUUUGUUGAAAUGACCUUAUGAAUUGCACUUGAUAUAAUUAGCAAUAGUGUAAUGAUUUUUUGAAGUGUGGCAGUAAGCCACAGAGCAACUAUUUUAAAGGCCUUGAUUCUUUUUUUGUACAUAUUUUUAUUUAUUGAUUUUUUUUUUAAAUUUUUGCAUUACUGUGGUUUGUAAGAAUGUCACACUGUGUGUGAUUAUUGAGCAUUGAGACACACGAUGUGCAGUUCCUACAGAAGCUGAUGUUCAUCAGCUUUUGUACCAGAGUCAAAGGCUUUUUUUACACUGAGCUAAAGUUAUUAUGAUACAGCUAUGCUAGCGUUUGAUCAGCUAGUAACACCUUGUAAUUUAAUUUCAUUCUUCCUCUCUGUAAGAAAGAAGAUAACAAACCUUUUUAGUCCAGAAAAGAGUCCAACCUCAACUAUUGUACUAUUAUUGGGGAUGUGCGUGACUGUUUGGUUAGACAUUCAAAAGUUGCUAUCAUUGUUGGUCGAUGUCAGAAAUACUAGUCAGUUAAACAUGUUAUGUUAAUGUGUAAAGGUAGUUAUCGGAUCCAAGAUAUCGCAACACCAUAAGCUACUCACCUGGGCUGCAGCCGUGAUGGUCACCCUCUCCCUAUUGUGGUUUUGCAGACAUGUGACCAUUAACCAUGUGACAUUAACUUAUCUGCUAUUUUGGAUAUGUGACAAUCAUGGUGACAAUGUAGGAGCAAGUGAAUAAAGCCCCAGUCACACAGGCUUAGAGAUUGGUCUGUAAUCAUAUGGCAAUCACCAGUACUGAGGAAAAAAAUGACUAGUGGUUGGACGCAGUCGCUGGGGAAAUGAUUUGUAGAG